rnacentral:rRNA from 1 species
GAUGAACGCUAGCUACAGGCUUAACACAUGCAAGUCGAGGGGUAACGAGAGGAAAGCUUGCUUUCCUUGUCGACGACCGGCGCACGGGUGAGUAACGCGUAUCCAACCUGCCCCCAACUAGGGAAUAACCUUGCGAAAGUAAGACUAAUACCCUAUAAUUUCCUCAGAUGUCAUCUGACGAGGAAUAAAGAUUUAUCGGUUGUGGAUGGGGAUGCGUCUGAUUAGCUUGUUGGCGGGGUAACGGCCCACCAAGGCAACAAUCAGUAGGGGUUCUGAGAGGGAGGUCCCCCACAUUGGAACUGAGACACGGUCCAAACUCCUACGGGAGGCAGCAGUGAGGAAUAUUGGUCAAUGGGCGGAAGCCUGAACCAGCCAAGUAGCGUGCAGGAUGACGGCCCUAUGGGUUGUAAACUGCUUUUAUACAGGAAUAAAGUUAGCCACGUGUGGUUAUUUGUAGGUACUGUAUGAAUAAGGACCGGCUAAUUCCGUGCCAGCAGCCGCCGUAA